rnacentral:rRNA from 1 species
CAAUAGCGUAUAUUAAAGUUGUUGCGGUUAAAAAGCUCGUAGUUGGAUUUCUGCCGAGGACGUCCGGUCCGCCCUCUGGGUGAGUACAUGGCACGGCCUGGGCAUCUUCUUGGGGAACGUAUCUGCACUUGACUGUGUGGUGCGGUAUCCAGGACUUUUACUUUGAGGAAAUUAGAGUGUUUCAAGCAGGCACACGCCUUGAAUACAUUAGCAUGGAAUAAUAAGAUAGGACCUCGGUUCUAUUUUGUUGGUUUCUAGAGCUGAGGUAAUGAUUAAUAGGGAUAGUUGGGGGCAUUCGUAUUUAACUGUCAGAGGCGAAAUUCUUGGAUUUGUUAAAGACGGACUACUGCGAAAGCAUUUGCCAAGGAUGUUUUCAUUGA